GACGAACGCUGGCGGCGUGCUUAACACAUGCAAGUCGAACGGAAAGGCCCUGCUUUUGUGGGGUGCUCGAGUGGCGAACGGGUGAGUAACACGUGAGUAACCUGCCCUUGACUUUGGGAUAACUUCAGGAAACUGGGGCUAAUACCGGAUAGGAGCUCCUGCUGCAUGGUGGGGGUUGGAAAGUUUCGGCGGUUGGGGAUGGACUCGCGGCUUAUCAGCUUGUUGGUGGGGUAGUGGCUUACCAAGGCUUUGACGGGUAGCCGGCCUGAGAGGGUGACCGGCCACAUUGGGCCUGCGAUACGGCCCAGACUCGUACGGGAGGCAGCAGUGGGGAAUAUUGCACAAUGGGCGGAAGCCUGAUGCAGCAACGCCGCGUGCGGGAUGACCGCUUUCGGGUUGUAAACCGCUUUCGCCUGUGACGAAGCGUGAGUGACGGUAAUGGGUAAAGAAGCACCGGCUAACUACGUG
rnacentral:rRNA from 1 species